rnacentral:rRNA from 1 species
GCUUGUCUCAAAGAUUAAGCCAUGCAUGUUCAAGUAUAGCAAGUGUACAGUGAAACUGCGAAUGGCUCAUUAUAUCAGUUAUAGUUUAUUUGAUGGUUCUUGCUACUUGGAUAACCGUAGUAAUUCUAGAGCUAAUACAUGCGUCAAACCCCGACUUCUGGGAGGGGUGUAUUUAUUAGAUGGAAACCAAUGCGGGGCAACCCGGUAUAUGGUGAUUCAUAAUAACUUUCGGAUCGAUCUUCGGAUCGAUGCAUCAUUCAAGUUUCUGCCCUAUCAGCUUUGGAUGGUAGGGUAUUGGCCUACCAUGGCUUUAACGGGUAACGGAGAAUUAGGGUUCGAUUCCGGAGAGGGAGCCUGAGAAAUGGCUACCACAUCCAAGGAAGGCAGCAGG